rnacentral:lncRNA from 1 species
GUUCGAGAGUUUGGUACAUAAAGGUCCAUUUUAAGGUAUCAAAUGCUUUUGAAAAGUCUAGAAACAAAAUUGCACCUUCAACAUUAAAUUUGUCGGCGUAAUCUAUGAUGUCUUGUAUUUGUCUGAGAUUGAAGCCAAUAUAUCGUUUUUUUAUAUAUCCUGUUUGGUCUGCAUUUAUUAUUAAAUUUAGUACAUUUUUUAUUCUUUGAGCUAAUGUGUAAGAUAGUAUUUUAUAGUCCGAGUUUAAUAAGGAGAUUGGCCUAUAAUUUGAAAGAUCUAGUGGAUCAUUCUUUUUGUAUAUAAGAUUAAGAAUACUUUGUCUUUGAGAAAAUGGUAGCUUUUGCCUGUCGUAGCUUGUAUUAAAGAUGUUAACAAGGAUUGGACCUAAUGAUUGCCAAAACUUUUUAUAGAAAUUUGUUGAGAUACCAUCUUUACCUGGGCUUUUAUUGGGUUUUAAAUUGUUUACUGCUAGUGUUAGUUCAUCUAUUGUAACAUAUCCAUCGCACGUCUGACUUUCAUUUUUUGAUAAUUUAUUUUUUACUUCAGUACUGUUAAUAUAUUCCCAUGAUUGGGCUAUGUUUUCGUUUUCUUUUGAAUAUAGUUUUUCGUAAAAUUUCUUUUCAAUUUGAAGUAUUUCACUUUGAUCUGUAACAAUAUUUCCUUGGUCGUCUUUUAGUUUUAUUAUUGUUUUUUUUUUUGUUUGUUUAUUUUUUUCUAGGCCUAAAAAGUAAGCUGUAUUUUUUUUCGCCUUUUUCUACCCAAUCUUGUUUAGACCUUAAUUGGGCGCCCUUAGCUUUAUAUUCAUAAUGUGUUUCUAGCUGAUUUUCAAUUUGAUUUAUUUUUUGCAAAAUAUCAUUAUUUUCAUUUUUUUGGUAUUUUUCAGUUAAGAGUGUUAAUUUUUUUUCCAUUUGCUUUAUUUCGUUAUUUUUAUUGUAAGCUCUACUUUUGCAAUAAUUUAUUGUAAAUAGUUUAAUAUCAAGUUUAAUCGCGUCCCAAAGAAGAUGCACAUCCGUAGUUGUGUCUUGCAUGAUAGUUUUAUAUUUUGCAAUUAUUGUUUCUAUUUCUUUACAAUAUUCAUUUUCUUCUAAAAUAGAAUUAUUUAAUUUCCAGUAUCCUGGACCUUUACUUUCGGCCGUUACGCUUUGUAAUUUAAGAGAUACGCCUUGGUGGUCUGUGCUUUUUAUUAAUGCGGGUCUUAUAUCGCUUGAUUUUGUAUUGAGCACAAAAUCUUUAUUAAUUAAAAAGUAAUCAAUUCGACUUGCUUGACUGAAGUUUUGUCUUUUCCAGGUAAACUAGUAUUUUUUCGGAUUUAAAUAUCUCCAUAUAUCGAUUAGAUUGUGUGUUUUAAUUAAAGAUUUUUAACUGUUUACUGGUUUUAUAUUUUUUUCGUUUUCCAUUAGUAAGUUUUCUAUCUAAGUUUGACAAUGCAUCGUUCAUGUCGCCGCCUAGUAUUACUGUUCCAAUUGCAUAAUUACUUAUGAAAUCAGAGAGAUUUUUAAAGAACUUGUUUCUUUCCGUUUCUAUGUUUGGUGCAUAUAUGUUAAUGAGCGAAUAAAUUAUGUUUUCUAUUUCUAUAUUUAACAUUAGUAUUCUACCGUCUUUGUCUUUGUUUUCAUUAAUUACUUUACAUUCUAACUUAUUAUCAAUUAUAAUGGCUACCCCUCUACUUUGGGUUGUACCAUGACUAAAAUAGAUAACGUUACUAGUUUCAGUAUAUAAUUUUUUUUUCAAGAUUUUCAUCAAAG